rnacentral:rRNA from 1 species
ACUCCUACGGGAGGCAGCAGUGGGGAAUAUUGCACAAUGGGCGCAAGCCUGAUGCAGCCAUGCCGCGUGUAUGAAGAAGGCCUUCGGGUUGUAAAGUACUUUCAGCAGUGAGGAAGGUGGGUAUGUUAAUAGCAUAUUCAUUUGACGUUAGCUGCAGAAGAAGCACCGGCUAACUCCGUGCCAGCAGCCGCGGUAAUACGGAGGGUGCGAGCGUUAAUCGGAAUUACUGGGCGUAAAGCGCAUGCAGGUGGUUUGUUAAGUCAGAUGUGAAAGCCCGGGGCUCAACCUCGGAAUUGCAUUUGAAACUGGCAAACUAGAGUACUGUAGAGGGGGGUAGAAUUUCAGGUGUAGCGGUGAAAUGCGUAGAGAUCUGAAGGAAUACCGGUGGCGAAGGCGGCCCCCUGGACAGAUACUGACACUCAGAUGCGAAAGCGUGGGGAGCAAACAGGAUUAGAACCCUGGUAGGCUCUGC